rnacentral:rRNA from 1 species
AUGUCGAUGGCGAGGGCGGCGAGGGCGGCGGCGAGGGCCCCGGGCAGGGCGGCGGCGCGGUUCGUGCAGACCAGGCUCCGCUCCUCCGGCAAGGUGCUCAGCGAGGAGGAGAGGGCCGCCGAGAACGUCUACAUCAAGGUAUACCGCCCCCGUCCCCCGUCCCCUUCCCUCCCGCUCCGGCGCGAGAUGGUUCCUCGUGGACCCCGUCUCGUCUCGUCGGCCCCGCGCGGGUUGGGCUAG